rnacentral:rRNA from 1 species
CCUACGGGUGGCUGCAGUCGGGAAUAUUGCGCAAUGGAGGAAACUCUGACGCAGUGACGCCGCGUGCAGGAAGAAGGUUUUCGGAUUGUAAACUGCUUUAGACAGGGAAGAAACAAGACAGUACCUGUAGAAUAAGCUCCGGCUAACUACGUGCCAGCAGCCGCGGUAAUACGUAGGGAGCAAGCGUUAUCCGGAUUUAUUGGGUGUAAAGGGUGCGUAGACGGGAAGGCAAGUUGGUUGUGUAAUCCCUCGGCUUAACUGAGGAACUGCAACCAAAACUAUCUUUCUUGAGUGCUGGAGAGGAAAGUGGAAUUCCUAGUGUAGCGGUGAAAUGCGUAGAUAUUAGGAGGAACACCAGUGGCGAAGGCGACUU